AUUGAACGCUGGCGGCAGGCCUAACACAUGCAAGUCGAACGGUAACAGGAAGCAGCUUGCUGCUUUGCUGACGAGUGGCGGACGGGUGAGUAAUGUCUGGGAAACUGCCUGAUGGAGGGGGAUAACUACUGGAAACGGUAGCUAAUACCGCAUAACGUCGCAAGACCAAAGAGGGGGACCUUAGGGCCUCUCGCCAUCGGAUGUGCCCAGAUGGGAUUAGCUAGUAGGUGGGGUAACGGCUCACCUAGGCGACGAUCCCUAGCUGGUCUGAGAGGAUGACCAGCCACACUGGAACUGAGACACGGUCCAGACUCCUACGGGAGGCAGCAGUGGGGAAUAUUGCACAAUGGGCGCAAGCCUGAUGCAGCCAUGCCGCGUGUAUGAAGAAGGCCUUCGGGUUGUAAAGUACUUUCAGCGGGGAGGAAGGGAGUAAAGUUAAUACCUUUGCUCAUUGACGUUACCCGCAGAAGAAGCACCGGCUAACUCCGUG
rnacentral:rRNA from 1 species